rnacentral:rRNA from 1 species
AGAGUUUGAUCCUGGCUCAGAGCGAACGCUGGCGGCAGGCUUAACACAUGCAAGUCGAGCGGAUGUAGCAAUACAUCAGCGGCAGACGGGUGAGUAACACGUGGGAACGUACCUUUUGGUUCGGAACAACACAGGGAAACUUGUGCUAAUACCGGAUAAGCCCUUACGGGGAAAGAUUUAUCGCCGAAAGAUCGGCCCGCGUCUGAUUAGCUAGUUGGUAAGGUAACGGCUCACCAAGGCGACGAUCAGUAGCUGGUCUGAGAGGAUGAUCAGCCACAUUGGGACUGAGACACGGCCCAAACUCCUACGGGAGGCAGCAGUGGGGAAUAUUGGACAAUGGGCGCAAGCCUGAUCCAGCCAUGCCGCGUGAGUGAUGAAGGCCCUAGGGUUGUAAA